CUACGGAGGGUGCAAGCGUUGUUCGGAAUUACUGGGCGUAAAGCGCGCGUAGGUGGUCUGUUAUGUCAGAUGUGAAAGUCCACGGCUCAACCGUGGAAGUGCAUUUGAAACUGGCAGACUUGAGUACUGGAGGGGGUAGUGGAAUUCCCGGUGUAGAGGUGAAAUUCGUAGAUAUCGGGAGGAAUACCGGUGGCGAAGGCGACUACCUGGCCAGAUACUGACACUGAGGUGCGAAAGCGUGGGGAGCGAACAGGAUUAGAAACCCCAGUAGUCC
rnacentral:rRNA from 1 species